rnacentral:rRNA from 1 species
AGCGAACGCUGGCGGCAGGCUUAACACAUGCAAGUCGAGCGCCCCGCAAGGGGAGCGGCAGACGGGUGAGGAACACGUGGGAACGUACCCUUUGGUUCGGAACAACCCAGGGAAACUUGGGCUAAUACCGGAUAAGUCCGCGAGGAGAAAGAUUUAUCGCCGAAGGAUCGGGCCGCGGCUGAUUAGCUAGUUGGUGUGGUAACGGCGCACCAAGGCGACGAUUAGUAGCUGGUCUGAGAGGAUGAUCAGCCACACUGGGACUGAGACACGGCCCAGUCUCCUACGGGAGGCAGCAGUGGGUAAUAUUGGACAAUGGGGGCAACCCUGAUCCAGCCAUGCCGCGUGAGUGAUGAAGGCCCUAGGGUUGUAAAGCUCUUUCGGUGGGGAAGAUAAUGACGGUACCCACAGAAGAAGCCCCGGCUAACUUCGUG